AACGAACGCUGGCGGCAUGCCUAACACAUGCAAGACGAACGAAGGCAUCGGCCUGAGUGGCGCACGGGUGCGUAACGCGUGGGAAUCUGCCCCUCGGUUCGGAAUAACAGUUAGAAAUGACUGCACAUACCGGAUGAUUACUUCGGUCCAAAGAUUUAUCGCAGAGGGAUGAGCCCGCGUAAGAUUAGGUAGUUGGGGGGGUAAAGGCCUACCAAGCCGACGAUCUUUAGCUGGUCUGAGAGGAUGAUCAGCCACACUGGGACUGAGACACGGCCCAGACUCCUACGGGAGGCAGCAGUGGGGAAUAUUGGACAAUGGGCGAAAGCCUGAUCCAGCAAUGCCGCGUGAGUGAUGAAGGCCUUAGGGUUGUAAAGCUCUUUUACCAGGGAUGAUAAUGACAGUACCUGGAGAAUAAGCUCCGGCUAACUCCGUGCCAGCCGCCGCAGUAA
rnacentral:rRNA from 1 species